AUUGAACGCUAGCGGGAUGCUUUACACAUGCAAGUCGAACGAGUGGAGGACGGGUGAGUAAUAUAUCUGAACGUGCCCAGUAGCGGGGGAGAACGACUCGAAAGAGGGGAUAAUACGGCAUACUAAUGGAGCGGCCGAUAUCGGAUUAGCUAGUUGGUGGGGUAAAGGCUCACCAAGGCAACGAUCCGUAGCUGGUUUGAGAGGACGACCAGCCACACUGGGACUGAUACACGGCCCAGACUCCUACGGGAGGCAGCAGUGGGGAAUUUUGGACAAUGGGGGAAACCCUGCUCCAGCCAUCCCGCGUGUAUGAGAAGGCCUUCGGGUUGUAAAGUACUUUUGGCAGAGAAGCGGUAUCUGCAGAAUAAGCACCGGCUAACUACGUGCCAGCAGCCGCGGUAAUUC
rnacentral:rRNA from 1 species